rnacentral:rRNA from 1 species
AAAAUCGUGGUGCCUUGCACCUCGAAUUGUAGUCUGGAGAAGUGUCCUCUGCAACGGACCAGACCCAAGUUCACUGGAAAGUGGCGUCAGAGAGGGUGAAAACCCCGUCGAGUCUGGACACUGUUGCAAAACGAGGCACUGUCUGCGAGUCGAGCUGUUUGGGAAUGCAGCUCUAAGUGGGUGGUAAAUUCCAUCCAAGGCUAAAUAUUGGCAAGAGACCGAUAGCGAACAAGUACCGCGAGGGAAAGAUGAAAAGGACUUUGAAAAGAGAGUUAAAAAGUGCUUGAAAUUGCUGGGAGGGAAGCGAAUGGAAGCUGCGGGUGUGCCCUGGUUGGAUGUGGAACGGUUUAGGCUGGUCCGCCGCUCAACGCGGGGCACUGGUCAGCGUGGGCCAUCGCGGCGGGACAAGAGCAGGAUGUAGUUUCUUGCCUAUGCCGUUGUGGUGGCCGAGGAACGAAGCAUGCGCCACUUGUGGCGUGGUAUUUAUACCAACUGCAUGCUCGGGACGCUGGCGUAUUGAGCUCUUCAUCCGACCCGUCUUGAAACACGGACCAAGGAGUCUAACAUGUAUGCGAGCCGGUGGGCGGCAAACCCAUUGAGGCGCAAGUAAACUGACA